rnacentral:rRNA from 1 species
GGGCAUAUCGCUUACCGAACCUUAUCAAACUCCGAAUGCCAUAUACAUUAAGUCCGGCAGUCAGACUACGAAUGAUAAGAUCCGUGGUCAAAAGGGAAACAGCCCAGAUCGUCAGCUAAGGUCCCAAAGUGUAAGUUAAGUGGAAAAGGAUGUGGGAUUUCUAAGACAACUAGGAUGUUGGCUUAGAAGCAGCCACUCAUUUAAAGAGUGCGUAAUAGCUCACUAGUCGAGAGAUCCUGCGCCGAAAAUGUCCGGGGCUCAAACUUACCACCGAAGCUACGGGCUUGCGUAAGCAAGCGGUAGGGGAGCGUCGUAAUCGGGCUGAAGUCGUACCGUAAGGAGCGGUGGACUGAUUACGAGUGAGAAUGUUGGCAUUAGUAGCGAGAUGUAGGUGAGAAUCCUACAGGCCGAAUAUCUAAGGUUUCCUCAGGAAGGCUCGUCCGCUGAGGGUUAGUCGGGACCUAAGCCGAGGCCGAAAGGCGUAGGCGAUGGACAAUCGGUUGAUAUUCCGAUACCACUACCAUCGUUAUUAUCGAGGGUGUGACGGAGAAGGAUAGUGUGUGCUAGCGAUUGGAAAUGCUAGUCUAAGCGUUUAGGCAGUUACGGUAGGCAAAUCCGCUGUAACAAUGCUGAGGCGUGAUGGGGAAGGCCAUUUAGGCUGAAGUACAUGAUUCCAUGCUUCCAAGAAAAGCAUCUAGAGAGAGAAGUAGUGCCCGUACCGCAAACCGACACAGGUAGAUGAGGAGAGAAUCCUAAGGCCGGCGGAAGAAUUGCAGUUAAGGAACUAGGCAAAUUGACCCCGUAAGUUCGCGAGAAGGGGUGCCUGCGAGAGCAGGCCGCAGAGAAUAGGCCCAAGCAACUGUUUAGCAAAAACACAGGUCUCUGCUAAAGCGCAAGCUGAUGUAUAGGGGCUGACGCCUGCCCGGUGCUGGAAGGUUAAGGGGAACACUUAGCGCAAGCGAAGGUGUGAACUUAAGCCCCAGUAAACGGCGGCCGUAACUAUAACGGUCCUAAGGUAGCGAAAUUCCUUGUCGGGUAAGUUCCGACCCGCACGAAAGGCGUAACGAUUUGGGCACUGUCUCAACAACAGACUGGGUGAAAUUGUAAUACCGGUGAAGAUGCCGGUUACCUGCGACAGGACGGAAAGACCCCAUGGAGCUUUACUGUAGCUUGACAUUGGGUCUUGGUACUACAUGUACAGGAUAGGUGGGAGACUAUGAAGCCGGAACGCCAGUUUCGGUGGAGUCAUCCUUGGGAUACCACCCUUGUAGUACUGGGACUCUAACCAUAGGCCAUGAAUCUGGUCUUGGGACACUGUCAGGUGGGCAGUUUGACUGGGGCGGUCGCCUCCUAAAAAGUAACGGAGGCGCUCAAAGGUUCUCUCAGUACGGUCGGAAAUCGUACGUAGAGUGUAAAGGCACAAGAGAGCUUGAUUGCAAGACAUACAGGUCGAGCAAGGACGAAAGUCGGACUUAGUGAUCCGGUGGUUCCGCAUGGAAGGGCCAUCGCUCAACGGAUAAAAGCUACCCUGGGGAUAACAGGCUUAUCUCCCCCAAGAGUCCACAUCGACGGGGAGGUUUGGCACC